rnacentral:rRNA from 1 species
UACGAAGGGGGCUAGCGUUGCUCGGAAUCACUGGGCUUAAAGGGCGCGUAGGCGGGUGCUCAAGUCCGGGGUGAAAUCCUCCAGCUCAACUGGAGAACUGCCUCGGAUACUGGGUGCCUCGAGGAUGGCAGGGGUAUGCGGAACUAUCGGUGGAGCGGUGAAAUGCGUUGAUAUUGAUAGGAACUCCGGUGGCGAAGGCGGCAUACUGGUCCACUUCUGACGCUGAGGCGCGAAAGCCAGGGGAGCAAACGGG